rnacentral:rRNA from 1 species
AUUGAACGCUGGCGGCAUGCCUUACACAUGCAAGUCGAACGGCAGCACGGGUGCUUGCACCUGGUGGCGAGUGGCGAACGGGUGAGUAAUACAUCGGAACGUACCUUAUCGUGGGGGAUAACGCAGCGAAAGCUGUGCUAAUACCGCAUACGCCCUGAGGGGGAAAGCGGGGGAUCGAAAGACCUCGCGCGAUUAGAGCGGCCGAUGCCUGAUUAGCUUGUUGGUGGGGUAAAAGCCCACCAAGGCGACGAUCAGUAGCUGGUCUGAGAGGACGAUAAGCCACACUGGGACUGAGACACGGCCCAGACUCCUACGGGAGGCAGCAGUGGGGAAUUUUGGACAAUGGGGGCAACCCUGAUCCAGCAAUGCCGCGUGAGUGAAGAAGGCCUUCGGGUUGUAAAGCUCUUUUGUCAGGGAAGAAACACCGGCUCUAACACAGUCCGGGGAUGACGGUACCUGAAGAAUAAGCACCGGCUAACUACGUGCCAGCCGCCGCAGUAA